GACGAACGCUGGCGGCGUGCUUAACACAUGCAAGUCGAACGGAAAGGCCCUGCUUUUGUGGGGUGCUCGAGUGGCGAACGGGUGAGUAACACGUGAGUAACCUGCCCUUGACUUUGGGAUAACUUCAGGAAACUGGGGCUAAUACCGGAUAGGAGCUCCUGCUGCAUGGUGGGGGUUGGAAAGUUUCGGCGGUUGGGGAUGGACUCGCGGCUUAUCAGCUUGUUGGUGUGGUAACGGCCUACCAAGGCGAUGAUCAGUAGCCGGUCUGAGAGGAUGAACGGCCACAUUGGGACUGAGACACGGCCCAG
rnacentral:rRNA from 1 species